ACAGUAAAUUGGGCGUAAAUGGGGCUCCCAUUUCAAACGUGAGUACCCCAGGCCAUUUCCGUUACAAUAUCAAGUUGGAAUAUUGACAACAUAGAACGUAGGUAUUUGCUGGUCUUAUUCCUAGAGUGGACAACAAUAUGGAGACUGUAACUGAAUAAAGAGAGGAGACGGGAGACUAAAAUGACUCGUACUAUGACAAAUUGUAUCAUAGAGAACUGUUACUGAUUGUAAGGAAGUCUGAAAAUCUACCACACAAAACUGCACCUAGUAGAUGCCAAUUGUAAUACAUAAAAGGAGAGAAACAUAAGUCGACGCAUCUUACCAAAAAACCAUGGAAAUAUCUGAAAUGCGUUUCCUUUUACGCCAUUACUGGAAGCAAGACAUCAACAGCUCCAAAUGAGGGGAGCAUCGCCGUAGACCUCUAACACGCCCAACUUAGUUGAAUGAAUGCAGUCCCUGGCGAGAAAUACUCUCUCUACGCUUUGAUCUGUCGAAAGCGCGUACUCCUGCAACAAGACAAACCGCAUCCUAACAAAUGAACCCAGCAAAAGAUGAAAAGUCCACGCGAUUGAACUUCUUCCUCACCCAGCGUAUAGUCCAGAUCCUGCGCGAUCCGACUACCAGCUUUGCCGCUCCAUGGCACACUUUCUUCGUGGUCGUAGCUUUAAUAAUCUGUGCGAAGUUGAAACGGAUUCCGCCGGCUUUUCUCCUCUAAGUAAAAUAAGUGUUCC